UACGUAGGGUGCGAGCGUUGUCCGGAAUUAUUGGGCGUAAAGGGCUCGUAGGCGGUUUGUCACGUCGGGAGUGAAAACUCGGGGCUUAACCCCGAGCCUGCUUCCGAUACGGGCAGACUAGAGUGCGGUAGGGGAGACUGGAAUUCCUGGUGUAGCGGUGAAAUGCGCAGAUAUCAGGAGGAACACCGGUGGCGAAGGCGGGUCUCUGGGCCGUAACUGACGCUGAGGAGCGAAAGCAUGGGGAGCGAACAGG
rnacentral:rRNA from 1 species